GCCGCCAUAGCUCCAGCGGUAGAGCAGCCGCCUUGUAAGCGGAUGGCCCGGGGUUCGAAUCCUCGUGGCGGCACCA
rnacentral:tRNA from 1 species